rnacentral:lncRNA from 1 species
GUGCUUAGGUGCCCGAGCUACUGAGGGUCUAAGUCCGGGCAGCCGAAGAGUGUGGUAGGUAACGGUCCUCAGCGCAAGGGUCAUUUCGUCGCUGGGAAGGGACGGCCCUCGCCCGCGGUGAUGGUGGUUAGCAAGAUGAACAAAGAUGCGCAGAUGAGAGCAGCGAUUAACCAAAAGUUGAUAGAAACUGGAGAAAGAGAACGGUAAGUAAUAGAUUGUGUUAAUAAAUUACAUUUCACCGCCUUUAAUAGUUAGCUUGUAAGAAUCUAAACAAGAAAUGAAACAUGUCACUGGAAAGAAUUACAAUUGAGAUUAUAAAAGUUUCUAUUCCGAACAUCUGGAAAAAAUAAUUUAGGUUUGUUAAGUAUUGCAGGACUUGGAGGGAAGUGGUGAUGUAGAAAGAUGAGCAAGAUAUGGCUCUUAAAGAGUAAUUUGAUGGAGAAGAAAAAGUACAUACCUGAAUUACAACUGGAGACAUAAUGUUACCUGGGUUUUAACAGGGAGACAAUGUUGUGGAACCAGCUUCAUUUACCAAGCUCUCAACCUUGGAGCAGCAAGUGCUGUUUCCACUCUCUAAAACAUUCUUC